rnacentral:lncRNA from 1 species
UUAUUCGGCUCCUUCCUCCUUUCCCUACAUUCCUCCUUUCCCUACAUUCAGACCAGAUUAACCUAACGUUGCGGCACCGCCUCUCUACUGGCCGUCUUUCGCUUCGUCUCCGCCGUACUGACCAUCAUCGCUUGAAUCGGCCGAUUCCGAACCAGCUUUUUUAUAUGCUGUUUACUGAGGACACCGGUGUAUGUCGCACCACAUCACUCGAUUUUGACCGGAUCUGGGCUGGCUCUUGCAUCGUGCCAACUGGACUUUAAAAUAAAGCUUCGACACCCUUGGUAAAUAGGGUUUACUACAGUUAAAUUCAAAGAGAGAACCCAGAGAACACCGGUGUAUGUCGCUCCACAUCAGUCGAUUUUGACCGGAUCUGGGCUGGCUCCCGCAUCGUGUUACAUCAACCUUCCGAUUUGAACACAGGAACCCUUCUUGCUCCAGUUUUUCCCCGAUUUCUGGUUAGUCAUUAUCUUGCUCCAGUCCUUGCCCGAUUUUUUGUUACUUCGCUGAUAAAAUUCUUCAGUUAGUGAUCUGAAUUUCG